AAAGGAAUAGACGGGGACCCGCACAAGCAGCGGAGCGUGUUGUUUAAUUCGAAGAUACUCGAAGAACCUUACCAAGACUUGACAUCGCCUGACCGGUGUGGAAACACAUUUUUCGCAGCAAUGCGACAGGCAGACAGGUGGUGCAUGGUUGUCGUCAGCUCGUGUCGUGAGAUGUUGGGUUAAGUCCCGCAACGAGCGCAACCCUUACGGUUAGUUGCCAAUAUUAAGUUAGGAACUCUGACCGGACUGCCGUGGAUAUAACACGGAGGAAGGCGGGGAUGACGUCAAAUCAUCAUGCCCCUUACGUCUUGGGCUACAAACGCGCUACAAUGGCGGUUACAAAGAGCAGCGAAGCGGCAACGCGGAGCCAAUCUCAAAAAAGCCGUCUCAGUUCAGACUGUGGGCUGCAACCCGCCCACACGAAGGUGGAGUUGCUAGUAAUCCCGAAUCAGCAUGUCGGGGUGAAUGCGUUCCCGGGUCUUGUACACACCGCCCGU
rnacentral:rRNA from 1 species